rnacentral:rRNA from 1 species
UACGUAGGGGGCAAGCGUUGUCCGGAAUCAUUGGGCGUAAAGAGCGUGUAGGCGGUCCGAUAAGUCGGCUGUGAAAGUCAAGGGCUCAACCCUUGAAUGCCGGCCGAUACUGUCGGGCUAGAGUCCGGAAGAGGCGAGUGGAAUUCCUGGUGUAGCGGUGAAAUGCGCAGAUAUCAGGAGGAACACCAAUGGCGAAGGCAGCUCGCUGGGACGGUACUGACGCUGAGACGCGAAAGCGUGGGGAGCGAACAGG